rnacentral:rRNA from 1 species
UACAGAGGGUGCAAGCGUUGUUCGGAAUUAUUGGGCGUAAAGCGCGUGUAGGCGGCUUGGCAAGUCGGGGGUGAAAGCCCUCAGCUCAACUGAGGAAGUGCGCCCGAAACUGCUUUGCUUGAGUGCUGGAGAGGGUCGCGGAAUUCCCCAAGUAGAGGUGAAAUUCGUAGAUAUGGGGAGGAACACCGGUGGCGAAGGCGGCGACCUGGACAGUAACUGACGCUGAGACGCGAAAGCGUGGGUAGCAAACAGG